AUUGAACGCUGGCGGCAGGCUUAACACAUGCAAGUCGAACGAUGACUAACUAGCUUGCUAGUUAUGAUUAGUGGCGGACGGGUGAGUAACAUUUAGGAAUCUGCCUAGUAGUGGGGGAUAGCUCGGGGAAACUCGAAUUAAUACCGCAUACGACCUACGGGUGAAAGGGGGCGCAAGCUCUUGCUAUUAGAUGAGCCUAAAUCAGAUUAGCUAGUUGGUGGGGUAAAGGCCUACCAAGGCGACGAUCUGUAACUGGUCUGAGAGGAUGAUCAGUCACACCGGAACUGAGACACGGUCCGGACUCCUACGGGAGGCAGCAGUGGGGAAUAUUGGACAAUGGGGGCAACCCUGAUCCAGCCAUGCCGCGUGUGUGAAGAAGGCCUUUUGGUUGUAAAGCACUUUAAGCAGGGAGGAGAGGCUAAUGGUUAAUACCCAUUAGAUUAGACGUUACCUGCAGAAUAAGCACCGGCUAACUCUGUG
rnacentral:rRNA from 1 species